CUGUCACAAGGAGGCUUUGUGGAUAAAAAGGCAAACUGCUUUUCUUGGAGGGGCCGGAUACAGAGAGCCUCCAUGUGAACCUUUAGCGCAUUUGGAAAUUCUUGGCAACAUGCUUCAUUUCAUUUUGGAGGCAAGAGAUGGCUGAGCAAUACACUGGAAGGCAUUGCAUCAUCUUUUCCCUCACCUGUCUCCAAGGAUCUGUCCUUUGUAAAUUGCUGUGGUCAUCAGUCUUCACAUAUUGAAAUUUUAAAUUUAGAGGAAGACCAGCACAUGCAUUUGACAGCCAGAGGUGUAAAGCAAAAUCUACUUGAUAUCAAAAUUGAAAUGAAU